rnacentral:lncRNA from 1 species
ACCUCAUACACAUAGUAGGAUCUCCAACCCUCUCGAAAGGUACUUGGAUAUGCUUAACAGAAGAUGUAGAGAAAGUUAUUUCUGAUGAGAGAUGGAGAGCAUAGAGAUGAUCCCAAAACCUACAACGAGGCGAUAUACGACAUCGACUCCAAGAAAGAAAUAUGAAAUAGCUUUUCUGAGAAGAGAUCUUUUGAAGAUUUCUGUAUGGAAUAGCCUAUAAAUUUCACUUCUUGUGAUAGGAGAUCACAAAGUCCGUAAUAAUCUUAGAGU